CCCUUAGAUGUCCUGGGCCGCACGCGCGUUACACUGAUGCAUUCAACGAGCUUAUAACCUUGGCCGAGAGGCCUGGGCAAUCUUGUUAACGUGCAUCGUGAUAGGGAUAGAUUAUUGAAAUUAUUAAUCUUGAACGCGGAAUUCCUAGUAAACGCAGAUCAUCAAUCUGCAUUGAUUACGUCCCUGCCCUUUGUACACACCGCCCGUCGCACCUACCGAUUGGAUGGUCCGGUGAAGCCUCGGGAUUGUGGUUCUUGCCGCUUUAUUGUGGCGUGACCGCGAGAACUUGUCUAAACCUUAUCAUCUAGAGGAAGGUGAAGUCGUAACA
rnacentral:rRNA from 1 species